rnacentral:rRNA from 1 species
GGUCACGGCCAUGACACACUGAACGUGCCCAAUCUCAUCUGAUGUCAGAAGCUAAGCAAGGUUGGGCCUGGUUAGUACUUGGAUGGGACACAUUAUUUUGUUUAGUGAAAUUCUGUAUCAUUUGUAAUUU